GUGAGGGAUAUGGACUUGCCAAGUGAUCUUAGUGUCUUUGCAACUGAGCACACUACCAGCAACACUGACAGCUCACCAGUGGGAGCUGAUAGAUAAGACUGCUCUCAUCCAUUGAAGAGCUGACCAGAAACGUGAACAGAAAGACUGCAACUGCACCUGAUGGGAUCCCUGCCAUAACAGGUAAUUGUAUUUUUGUUUCUUACUUUAUAUUGUAACAUUUGAUAUUGAUAUUGUUUGAAACAAACUAUAAUCUCAUCCAUUCAUUAAGUCAUCCAUCCAUUCAUAACUCCUCAGAUGUGUUCUGUCCAGUGAAGGCAGUGGAGAAGCCCUACACUGAUCUUGAAACUGUGCCACGCUAGUAGAGACCGGCUACAAGGAUGGGCAGCUGUUUUCGCAAAGUCAGCCAACCUCUUGCUUCCAAAUGACCCUUAUCCAGAAGUAUCCGUGAGUGCCUCAUCAACAGAAACUAAAGUGGAGACCUACCUCUCAGAGAAAAACGCACACAUAAGAAAAGCCGACCAACUUCAGUACUGGGAAGAACAUCCUAAUCUGUUUCCCUCUAUGGCUGCUGUUGCGAUCCCAGUGUGCCCCCUGUAGCUCUGUGGACAGUUUUGGAUUUGUUUACAUUUCACCCCAACCGGUCGCGGCAGAUGGCCGCCCCUCCCUGAGCCUGGUUCUGCCGGAGGUUUCUUCCUGUCAAAAGGGAGUUUUUCCUUCCCACUGUCGCCAAAGUGCUUACUCAUAGGGGGUCAUAUGAUUGUUGGGUUUAUCUAUAUACAUUAAUGCUUGUAUACUUUUCAUUUAUACUUUUGCCUUACUCUUCAGUUCAUAAUAUGAAGUUACUUGAAUGGUUUCCUUUUCCUUUUUUAUUUUAUAUUCCUUUGCUAUUUACCACAAUCUAAAUAUCAUGUUUAAAUGUCAUACAUUAUUGUAAAUGGUAUUUGUACAAAAUAUUCCCUUUCACAUUAAAAUACCUUUGAAAUACAAAUUGAAUACCGCUUAAUGGACUUUUUUUUUUUCUACCACUUUAAACGACUCAAAACUGUAAAAUCUAAAUUGUAACUUCUCUUGAACACCUGACACUAAAGCAUAAUUUAUUUUAUUUCUUUUAUAUCUGUUAACGUCUUUUGUAAUCAUGUAACUGGAGUAUCUUUCUCUCAUCUCUGUAUGCUGCAUAUAACAGAGAUCACAAUACAGCUUACUUUGAUUUACAUUGAAAAUCAGCUGUGUUCCAUUUCCCUCCUUCUUGUGGUAUAAAUAGCAAACUAUGCUCAUGUUGCAUAUUGCUCCCUCUAGUGUUAUAAAUGGCAAACGGCACUAAUUGAACCACAUUAAAGGCAAACUACACUCAUUGGCAGUAGCAUAGGCACACUUAAAAUUUCUUCUGAAAUUUUCCCUUUCUAGUUAUUAUUAUUAUUCUUCAGUUUCCGCCUGAAAUUUUGCAGUGAAACUUACCCCGCAGUUUUGAGACAAGCUUCAUAUAUGUUACCUCAUUUUGUGCGUCUGGAUCUGGAAUGGUGUGCUAUGACUUUUGGUGUUUAUGACUUUUAUAGUUUUUUAAAUAUUAAUAUUUUAGUGAAAAUUUUCCCGCGCUUCUCUGCCGCACAGUUUUGACAAUAGGGUUACAUAUGUUAGAUCAUUUUGUGCGGCUGAAGCUGUACUAGUAUGGUAUGACUUUUGGUGUUUAUGACUUUUAUAGUUUUUGAAAUAUUUUGAUUUUAGUGCAAAUUUGGGCCAAUUUCUAGGCUCCUGAGAAAGAUUCUACUUUUGGCCCCAUAGAAACAGACUUCAUUUGUGGUGUGUUGGCUCUCUCUAGUGGUAUACCCGGAGUAGUACAGGCGAAAAGAUCUAUGCUUGGGCGAAAACUCCAUAUCCCACAAUUCAUAGCACGCCUCUACAGAGUAAACAAUGGCGGCCACCACUUCGUUUUAUAUGUCUUUUAUUAGUGUUUCUAGGUCACAAAAUCAACUUUUAAGAUAUUUUCAGGCGAGAAUGUAGGUGUGUAAACUUCAAAUAUCUGUUUGUUUUAUCAAGACAUCCCAUAUUAGCGACAGUGCUCUGACGACGUCGGUCCUGCCUGACAGCUAGCCGGCUACCUAGCUA
ensembl:lncRNA